CAUACUUGAAUUCGGCUAUAAAGCUCGAACCUUUUCGCCUUCUUCUCUCUCCAAUUCUCCGCCGUAGCAGCAGCAGCAGCAUUAGCAGCGGAACCUUCACGUUUCGAAACUUUCAGUUCCCAACCGGAACCAGAGCUCCAGGCCACCUUAUUCUUCGUCGCUGUCGCUGCAGAGCGAUGGGGACAUCGUCACUAGAAGCAGUGGUUCGUUUUCAAGUAAAGGACAAGAUUGAACUGACGGAGAUUGAGAAAAAGAUAUUCGAUCGACUUCUCAACACUCUCCUCCACUUCAAUCUCCAAACCGAGCUCCGUGUCGCCGGCGGUUGGGUUCGCGACAAGCUUCUCGGCAAGGACUGUUAUGACAUCGAUAUUGCUAUUGACAAUAUGUUGGGCAGUGAAUUUGUUGAUAAGGUCAGAGAAUACUUGUUAUCUACUGGGGAAGAGGCACAGGGGCUUGGUAUUAUUCCACGGAAUCCUGACCAGUCCAAACACUUAGAAACUGCAAGGAUGCGCCUUUUUGAUUUAUGGAUUGAUUUUGUAAACUUAAGGAGUGAAGACUAUAGUGAUGGCAGUCGCAUUCCCACAAUGAAAUUUGGCACAGCAAAAGAGGAUGCUUUUAGAAGGGAUUUAACUAUUAACAGCUUGUUCUAUAAUAUCAAUACCAGUUCGGUAGAAGACCUUACUGGAAGAGGUAUUGAAGAUCUGAAAACUGGAAAAAUAGUGACUCCUUUACCUCCAAAGGCUACUUUUUUGGAUGAUCCACUUCGAGUUCUUCGAGCUAUUCGAUUUGGUGCAAGGUUUGGAUUCAUACUAGACGAAGAACUCAAAGUGGCAGCUGCUUGUGAUAAUGUGACAAGUGCCCUUGCAGCCAAAGUUAGCAAAGAGCGCAUUGGAACUGAAAUUGAUCUCAUGAUCUCUGGCAAUCAACCUGUUAAAGCUAUGACAUGCAUUGCUGAUUUGACAUUAUUCUGGGUUGUCUUUGGUCUUCCUCCUAAGGUUGAGCCAGCAGUGUCAGAAGGAUGCCACAAGCUAUGUAUUGCGUACUUGGAUGCAUCAUGGAACCUUAUUCAAUUAAUUGGGUGUUCCAUCUUCACUGUUGAACAAAGGAGACUGUCUUUGUAUGCGGCUUUAUUUCUCCCAUUCAGAAAUAUUACGUGCAAGGAUGAGAAGGGUAAAACGGCUCCUGUUGUCAACUUUAUCUUCAAAGAUUCUCUCAAGCAAAAAUCCAGCGAUUCUGAAACAGUUAUGAAGAUACACAGGUCAUUAGAGAAAUUCUUAAACUUAGUUGAUUUGGUUACUUCUAACGAGGACACCCAGCCAGCUGAAGUUGACUGGGGACCAGAACUUAUUGAUGUGCCUUUCUCAUCGAAACUCCGUGUAUUGGCAGGAUUUCUACUACGAGAUGUCAAAGAUUUUUGGCGAGUUGCCUUGUUGAUAUCUACAAUGAUAUAUCCUACCAGCAUCGACUCUACUGAAGAUUUUUUAGAUAAGCAAUAUCAACUUGACAAGAGAAUAGAACUAUUUAAGACAGUUGAGAAUGCCAUCACUAAACU
rnacentral:misc_RNA from 1 species